UUCCGGUUGAUCCUGCCAGAGGUCACUGCUAUCGGUGUCCGAUUAAGCCAUGCGAGUUGAGAGGUGUAAGACCUCGGCAGACUGCUCAGUAACACGUGGAUAACCUGCCCAAGGGUCCGGGAUAACCCCGGGAAACUGGGGAUAAUGCCGGAUGGGUCACCAGUGCUGGAAUGCUUGGUGGUCGAAAGGUGACGCCUUUGGAUGGGUCUGCGGCGGAUUAGGUUGACGCCGGUGUAACGUACCGGCGUGCCUGUAAUCCGUACGGGUUGUGGGAGCAAGAGCCCGGAGAUGGAUUCUGAGACACGAAUCCAGGCCCUACGGGGCGCAGCAGGCGCGAAAACUCUACAAUGCAGGCAACUGCGAUAGGGGGACAUCGAGUGGCAUCCACCUUGGGUGUCUGUCCAACCGUCUAAAAAACGGUUGUUAGCAAGGGCCGGGCAAGACCGGUGCCAGCCGCCGCGGUAAUACCGGCGGCUCGAGUGGUGGCCGAUAUUAUUGAGUCUAAAGGGUCCGUAGCCGGCUUUGCAAGUCCCCUGGGAAAUCCGGCGGCUUAACCGUUGGGCUUUCAUGGGAUACUACAUUGCUUGGGACUGGGAGAGGUAGGAGGUACUCGGGGGGUAGGGGUGAAAUCCUGUAAUCCUCCGGGGACCACCGGUGGCGAAGGCGUCCUACCAGAACAGGUCCGACGGUGAGGGACGAAAGCUAGGGGCACGAACCGGAUUAGAUACCCGGGUAGUCCUAGCCGUAAACGAUGCCCGCUAGGUGUCACGACGGUCGUGAAUCGUCGUGGUGCCGUAGGGAAGCCGCGAAGCGGGCCACUUGGGAAGUACGGCCGCAAGGCUGAAACUUAAAGGAAUUGGCGGG
rnacentral:rRNA from 1 species